rfam:Alkalibacterium sp. 20 contig8, whole genome shotgun sequence.
UACUAUUACCGGAUAAUACCGAAGACAGUAUGCGGCUUAGGCCUUAAUAUCAUACCGAGGACACAUGUGAUUACGUUAAUCAACUAUGAUCCCUCUAUGUCUACGGUGACAUGGGGUUUUUUUAUACGAUA